CCACUCACUAAAAUUGGCCCUAAGAACAUCUCUCUAGCCACGCUUAAAUAUUCUUUACCUUAUUUUACAUCUUGUACUUUUCGCUAAGUUGAAGGUCUUUCCUUCAAUCCCAUUCUGUUAUGCUCUCUUAAUUUGAGAAACUGCUUAUUUCUUGUAGUAUUUUUGUCUGACCAUAGAGAGCACAAGGUCAUAAAAAGUUAAGUAAAUUAUUUAUGCAGGAAUUCAUAAUACCUGUCUGCUCUCCUUUUUAUGACUUGAGAAAACAGAGAUAAUUAACCU
rnacentral:lncRNA from 1 species